rnacentral:sRNA from 1 species
UCGACAUAAUAUUACCCUGUGCGCCGGA